CCAAUCAUAUUUACUUUACAGAUAAUUGUUUGGGUGCUUACCCCUAGUUUAAGGUGGCAGCUUGGACAUAGGGAUGUUAAACUAGCAUAUGGCAAUAUCCAGCUACAUUAUGAUGGUGUUUCCCUCAAUCAUGUUUGUCAUCCAAUUUGGGUCACACCAAAUCCUUUGUGAGCAUCCGCAUGAUCCAUCAAAUCCAGUUAAAUCUGGUGAUGUUCAUAAGAUUAUUGAGAAUCUUUCCUAGAAGCAGAGGCUUAUGACUCAAGUUAUUUUGGAUGUUAAAAAUGUAGCAUAAUUUGCACCUACACAUCUAGUAGUGUAAGUUAGUUUUGUUGUUCAACGCUAAAUCAUAUUGUAUUUUAACUGCUCUAUGUACAUGGGGAAUUCUUACUGUUUUCUCAACUACUAUCUAACUUAAGCUUAUCAUA